rnacentral:rRNA from 1 species
GGCUUGGACGAACGCUGGCGGCGCGCCUAACACAUGCAAGUCGAACGGAGUUGCGACGACAGAUCCUUUCGGGGUGACGUUAUAGCAACUUAGUGGCGAACGGGUGAGUAACACGUGAGUAACCUGCCUUUCAGAGGGGGACAACAGUUGGAAACGACUGCUAAUACCGCAUAAGACCACAGAGCGGCAUCGCUCAGGGGUCAAAGGAGCAAUCCGCUGAAAGAUGGACUCGCGUCCAAUUAGCUGGUUGGUGAGGUAACGGCCCACCAAGGCGACGAUUGGUAGCCGGACUGAGAGGUUGAACGGCCACAUUGGGACUGAGACACGGCCCAGACUCCUACGGGAGGCAGCAGUGGGGAAUAUUGCACAAUGGAGGAAACUCUGAUGCAGCGACGCCGCGUGAGGGAAGAAGGUCUUCGGAUUGUAAACCUCUGUCUUCAGGGACGAUAAUGACGGUACCUGAGGAGGAAGCCACGGCUAACAACGUGCCAGCAGCCGCGGUAAAACGUAGGUGGCAAGCGUUGUCCGGAAUUACUGGGUGUAAAGGGAGUGCAGGCGGGACGGCAAGUUGGAAGUGAAACCCAUGGGCUUAACCCAUGAACUGCUUUCAAAACUGCCGUUCUUGAGUGGUGCAGAGGUAGGCG